AGUCAUCAACCCCUACCGUUUUUGCGGAGAGGGAGUUGGAGCUGGGGCGUGCUGCCGUAAGGGCGGCUCCCCUGAAAUGCAUCGGUUGGGCCUGUGGGUCGAACUCGACUGGGCGUUGUACCAUCCUCGCUCGACGGAGAAGUUCCCCUCUCGCGCCGUAACCCCGACCCCGCCUGUGGAGCGGCGGUCAAUUUAACUUUGAAAU
rnacentral:misc_RNA from 1 species